UACAGAGGUCCCAAGCGUUGUUCGGAUUCACUGGGCGUAAAGGGUGCGUAGGCGGUUGGGUAAGUCUGAUGUGAAAUCUCACAGCUUAACUGUGAAACUGCAUUGGAUACUAUCCAACUCGAGGAAUGGAGGGGAGACUGGAAUACUUGGUGUAGCGGUGAAAUGCGUAGAUAUCAAGUGGAACACCAGUGGCGAAGGCGAGUCUCUGGACAUUUCCUGACGCUGAGACGCGAAAGCGUGGGGAGCAAACAGG
rnacentral:rRNA from 1 species